AUGUGGCACUUUUCGGAUUUCGAGAUUCAAACAAGUCUAUUUUAUAACGUAAGUUUUUCAUAGAUCUUUUAAACAUUUUGAAUUAUCAAUUAUUGUGACUUGUAGUACUUUUUACAUAGUUUACAAAUAUAUAAAUAUCAUUUCGAAAAAAUUGAACAUUACAUGCGCAAAUUGCCGGUCAAACUUAAACUGUUUGACUCUCGAAAAACGAAAAGUGCCGCAUAA
rnacentral:pre_miRNA from 1 species